GGAAAGGCGUGUAGGGCGUGUUCUCUUCAGACGUACAGCAUCUCCGGCGUUCCUGUCUGCAAUAUGACUCGUUCCUUGAUUUAAUUAAGCACGAUGGUCUCGUCUGGUUACCAGCGCGACUUUGAUGCCUGUGGCACAGAUUGCAGCUCUUUGGCCUGUAAAGCGAGGUGUGCUCUGAUUGGCCAGCUGUCCAGGGCCACGAAUCAGCUCUAGGCAUGACGAAGCGGAUAUCAUGCUCUUUUGGAAGGCUAACCAAAGUAGUUUCACUUUCACAAUGAAACACAUAGCUUCUCCAUGAAAUGGCGCAAGCGGCAACAGCGAGAAUAAAAGGUAC
ensembl:lncRNA